CGUCGAAGGUGGGGCUGAUGACUGGGGUGAAGUCGUAACAAGGUAUCCGUACCGGAAGGUGCGGAUGGAUCACCUCCUAACAGGGAGACAACACAAUGAUUUUGAUGCCUGAGUGCUUUUAUUCUUAGGCCGAAAUCCUGUCACCUUAGGUCGAUCGGUACCUCAGCUUUGAAGUCAAGGAUCAGCAGCAAUGUUGAUUGCUUGAUGGAGAUUUUCAGUUCCUAAACUUUGUCUAGGUCACACCCCAAAAGGGAUGAGACUCCUGGGCCAUUAGCUCAGGUGGUUAGAGCGCACCCCUGAUAAGGGUGAGGUCCCUGGUUCAAGUCCAGGAUGGCCCAUUCGGUGUUGGGGGUUUAGCUCAGUUGGUAGAGCGCCUGCUUUGCAAGCAGGAUGUCAGGAGUUCGAGUCUCCUAACCUCCACUGACCGAACUUGAUUCCCAUCUCCAAUUUUUUUGGAGUUGAGCUCGAUUGGAGUGUGAUUUAGAUGUGUCCGCUGGAUGACCCCAGCUUCCUGUCAUUCCAAGUUUUAGGUUGAAUCCUUGAAUUUGGUUGAUAAGAUGCUGGGCUCGGAUCAAAUAAUCAAGCAAUUGAUGAUUUGAUUUGAAGUUCUAGCAGAACCUUGACAACUGCAUAGGUGAGUCUGGAAAAAACAAAGCAUCUUACAGAUGCAUUGUUUUGAAUCCGAUCUUCUGAAAGGGAGAUUGGAUCUAGAACAAUGAAAAUUCUUUUGAGCAAGAGCCGAGACUCUUGAGCGUUCUUUGAUUGGUGUCGAGCCAAUCAGAGUUUGAUCUUGUUUUUAGCAAUAAAAACUUGAGAAUCUGCUUUCAACGGCGGUAAGCGUUCAGGAGGUUAAUUGGUCAAGCUACAAAGGGC
rnacentral:misc_RNA from 1 species